rnacentral:tRNA from 1 species
GGUGCUGUGGCAUAGUGGGUAAAGCCACUGGCUGUAGUGCCAGCAUCCCAUGUGCGCACAGGUUCAAGUCCUGGCUGCUCCA